CCUACGGGUGGCAGCAGUAGGGAAUAUUGGGCAAUGGGCGAAAGCCUGACCCAGCAACGCCGCGUGUGCGAUGAAGGCCUUCGGGUCGUAAAGCACUUUUCUGAGGGAUACAGUACCUCAGGAAUAAGUCUCGGCUAACUACGUGCCAGCAGCCGCGGUAAAACGUAGGAGACUAGCGUUAUCCGGAUUUACUGGGCGUAAAGCGUGUGCAGGCGGUUCGGCAAGUUGGAUGUGAAAUCUCCCGGCUCAACUGGGAGGGGUCGUUCAAUACUACCGAACUUGAGGGCAUCAGAGGAAGGUGGAAUUCCGGGUGUAGUGGUGAAAUGCGUAGAUAUCCGGAGGAACACCAGUGGCGAAGGCGGCCUUCUGGGAUGCCCUGACGCUCAGACACGAAAGCUAGGGGAGCGAACGGGAUUAGAUACCCUUGUAGUC
rnacentral:rRNA from 1 species